rnacentral:rRNA from 1 species
CGUCAAAUCAUCAUGCCCCUUAUGAUUUGGGCUACACACGUGCUACAAUGGCGCAAACAAAGGGAAGCGAAGCCGUGAGGCGGAGCAAAGCUCAAAAAAGGCGUCUCAGUUCGGAUUGUAGUCUGCAACUCGACUACAUGAAGCUGGAAUCGCUAGUAAUCGCGAAUCAGCAUGUCGCGGUGAAUACGUUCCCGGGUCUU